UACGGGGGGGGCAAGCGUUGUUCGGAAUUACUGGGCGUAAAGGGCUCGUAGGCGGUUUGUCGCGUCUGCUGUGAAAACUCGGGGCUUAACUCCGGGCCUGCAGUGGGUACGGGCAGACUAGAGUGCGGUAGGGGAGACUGGAAUUCCUGGUGUAGCGGUGAAAUGCGCAGAUAUCAGGAGGAACACCGGUGGCGAAGGCGGGUCUCUGGGCCGUAACUGACGCUGAGGAGCGAAAGCAUGGGGAGCGAACAGG
rnacentral:rRNA from 1 species